rnacentral:hammerhead_ribozyme from 1 species
ACCCAGAUGAUGAGUCCCAAAAUAGGACAAAAUACACGUCCUGGAU